UGGCGUGGGCAGCGGUUUGGUUAGGGGAUAGGGAUAGGAAUAGGCCCUUAUCCCUCCCUUUAUACCCAAACGCUAAUUUUUUAUUCGAGAAUAGUAGUUCUUGGUUAUCCCCACCAACACCUUCAUUUUUUAUAUAAAACUAUCUAAAAUUGUUCUUAUUCUAGGGAACAACCCAAUUUUCAUCCAAACACUAUUUUUUUUAUUCCCAUACUUGUACCUAUCCCUGUAAUAGCUAGUUUUUGCUUAUAUCCGAACCAAACGGUACUUUAGGGUUUAGGGUUGGGUUAACCCCCUUUUAUCCCCAUACGGAAACAUCUCGGGGUGGGGUUUGUUAACCCCACCCUUAAUGGGUUAUUCCUGAUUAAUCCGUUAAAGGUGGGGUUAACAAACCCCACCCCUUUAGAAUUGGAUGGGAUUAAGUUAAUCCCACCCCAAUUUAAUUUUUAAAAUAUAAAUUUAAAAUUUUAAUUUUAAUUUAUAAAUUUUAAAAAUUUUAUAAUUUGUAAUUUUAAAAUUAAUAUUAAUAUUUUUAAAAUUUAAAAUUUAAAAUUUUAUUUUUAUUUUUAAUUGUUUAAAUUUUAAAUUUGACAUUUUAUAUUUGAAAUUUUAAAAAUAUAUAAUUUGCAAUCUUAAAAUUAAUAUUUAUUGUUUAAAAUUUUAAAUUUUAAAUUUUAAAUUUUAAAUUAUUAUUUUUAAUUAUUUAAAUUUAAAAUUUAAAAUUUUUUAUUUGAAAUUUUAAAUUUUUAAAUUUAAGAUUUAAAAAUAUAGAUUUUAAGUUUGAAUUUUUUAAUUUUAAAAGUUACCUAUUUAAAUUUGAAAUUUGAAAUAUAAAAUAAAAAAUUUAAAUUCAAAUAUAAUAAUUAGGGCAAUAUCAUUAUUUUCUAUUUAUAACUACCCACUAUCCUUCUUAUUCCACUUACUUCAACUAAACGCUAUUUUGCUUAUGUCUGAACUAAACCAAAUUUUUAACCAAACACAAAAUUACUCUAACCCUACCUUAACCCUGAACUUAACCCUAUCCCUGGAAUAACUAAUUCUUACUUAACCCCGAACCAGAUUCGAGUCUAAGUACUUGAUUGGAUCUGGAUACUUGAUAUAUUGUAUCCGUACUCUAAAGA
rnacentral:lncRNA from 1 species